CACUUCUAAGGAAGGCAGCAGGCGCGCAAAUUACCCAAUCCUGACUCAGGGAGGUAGUGACAAGAAAUAACAAUAAACCGGCUUAUGCCGGUUUAAUUGGAAUGAGUACAAUUUAAACAUCUUAACGAGGAACAAUUGGAGGGCAAGUCUGGUGCCAGCAGCCGCGGUAAUUCCAGCUCCAAUAGCGUAUACUAAAGUUGUUGCAGUUAAAAAGCUCGUAGUUGGAUUUCUGUGGGGACGGAGCGGCCGGCCGCACAUCGCGGUUCGAGCUAGCGCUUUCCCUACAUCCUGCCGCGAACCGUGCUACCAUUAGUUUGGUGGCGCCGGGGAUCGGCUCGAUUACUUUGAGAAAAAUAGAGUGUUCAAAGCAGGCCACAUGCCUUGAAUAAGUUAGCAUGGAAUAAUAACUAAGGACUUCGGUUCUAUUUUGUUGGUGUUCGGGACUGAAGUAAUGAUUGAUAGGGACAGUUGGGGCGGUCUGUAUUCCAAAGCGAGAGGUGAAAUUCUUAGACCUUCGGAAGACAAACAGCUGCGAAAGCGUUCCGCAAGGAUGUUCCCUUUGAUCAAGAACGAAAGUUGGGGGAUCGAAGACGAUCAGAUACCGUCGUAGUCUCAACUAUAAACUAUACCAGCUAGGGAUCGGCCAACGUUAUUUUAUACCGACUUGGUCGGCACCUUAUGAGAAAUCAAAGCAUCUGGGUUCCGGGGGGAGUAUGGUCGCAAGGCUGAAACUUAAAGGAAUUGACGGAAGGGCACCACCAGCCGUGGGGCCUGUGGCUUAAUUUGACUCAACACGGGAAAACUUACCAGGUCCAGACAUAGUAAGGAUUGACAGAUUGAUAGCUCUUUCUUGAUUCUGUGGGUGGUGGUGCAUGGCCGUUCUUAGUUGGUGGAGUGAUUUGUCUGGUUAAUUCCGUUAACGAACGAGACCCCAGCCUGCUAAAUAGCGCGCGUGAGCUUUGCUCGCGGCGAGCUUCUUAGAGGGACUAUGAUGCGCGAUAGCACAUGGAAGUUUGGGGCAAUAACAGGUCUGUGAUGCCCUUAGAUGUUCUGGGCCGCACACGGGCUACACUGGCGCCUGCAACGAGCAUAUCAGCUGGCCCGAGAGGGUCUUGGCUAAUCUUUUGAACCGGCGCCGUGCUUGGGAUUGACCUUUGCAAUUGUUGGUCAUGCAACGAGGAAUGCCUUGUAAACGCGAGUCAUCAGCUCGCAUUGAAUACGUCCCUGCCCUUUGUACACACCGCCCGUCGCUCCUACCGAUGAAUGUUCCGAUGAAAUUUUCGGAGAGCACCUGUGAACUUGGCUCUGCCUUGCGAACGGGAGUCUCAAAGUCACUUAAAUCUGAACAUUUCGAGG
rnacentral:rRNA from 1 species